GGGACAACAGUUGGAAACGACUGCUAAUACCGCAUAAUGUAUUCGGAAGGCAUCUUCUGAAUACCAAAGGAGAAAUCCGCUGAGGGAUGGGCUCACGUCUGAUUAGUUAGUUGGUGAGGUAACGGCUCACCAAGACUGCGAUCAGUAGCCGGACUGAGAGGUUGAACGGCCACAUUGGGACUGAGAUACGGCCCAGACUCCUACGGGAGGCAGCAGUGGGGAAUAUUGGGCAAUGGGCGAAAGCCUGACCCAGCAACGCCGCGUGAAGGAAGAAGGCCUUCGGGUUGUAAACUUCUUUUAAGAGGGACGAAGAAGUGACGGUACCUCUUGAAUAAGCCACGGCUAACUACGUGCCAGCAGCCGCGGUAAUACGUAGGUGGCGAGCGUUAUCCGGAUUUACUGGGUGUAAAGGGCGCGUAGGCGGGAAUGCAAGUCAGAUGUGAAAUCCAGGGGCUUAACCCUUGAACUGCAUUUGAAACUGUAUUUCUUGAGUGUCGGAGAGGUUGACGGAAUUCCUAGUGUAGCGGUGAAAUGCGUAGAUAUUAGGAGGAACACCAGUGGCGAAGGCGGUCAACUGGACGAUAACUGACGCUGAGGCGCGAAAGCGUGGGGAGCGAACAGGAUUAGAUACCCUGGUAGUCCACGCCGUAA
rnacentral:rRNA from 1 species